GCAAACAAUAAAUCGUACCCCAAACCGACACAUGUGGUCAGGUAGAGAAUACCAAGGCGGUAGAGAGAACUCGGGUGAAGGAACUAUGCAAAAUCGUGCCGUAACUUCGGGAGAAGGCACGCUGGUGUGUAGGUGAAGCCCCUGCGGGUGGAGCUGAGACCAGUCGAAGAUACCAGCUGGCUGCAACUGUUUAUUAAAAAAACAGCACUGUGCAAACACUAAAGUGGACGUAUACGGUGUGACGCCUGCCCGGUGCCGGAUGGUUAAUUGAUGGGGUUAUC
rnacentral:rRNA from 1 species